GGGAAAUGAUGAAUGCAAGUUGGUCCGUGUUUAUGAAAAACGAUGAUCAUUCAUACUUGCAAGUAUGGCUGAUUCC
rfam:Picea glauca, whole genome shotgun sequence.